GAUGAACGCUAGCGGCAGGCUUAAUACAUGCAAGUCAAGGGGGUAGCAAUACAACCGGCGCACGGGUGAGUAACGCGUACACAACAUACCAUAUACUGGAGUAUAGCUUUGGGAAACUGAAGGUAAUCCUCCAUAACAUUGCGAGAGAGCAUCUGAUUGCAAUUAAAGUUUCGGCGGUAUAUGAUUGGUGUGCGUUUGAUUAGCUAGUUGGUAGGGUAACGGCCUACCAAGGCGACGAUCAAUAGCUGGCGUGAGAGCGCGACCAGCCACACUGGAACUGAGACACGGUCCAGACUCCUACGGGAGGCAGCAGUAGGGAAUAUUGGACAAUGGAGGAAACUCUGAUCCAGCCAUGCCGCGUGAUAGAUGAAGGCCCUCUGGGUUGUAAAUAUCUUUUAUCUGGGAAGAAACACUCCUAUUCUUAGGAACUUGACGGUACCAGAGGAAUAAGCACGGCUAACUCCGUGCCAGCAGCCGCGGUUAAAG
rnacentral:rRNA from 1 species